GGGUGAAAGGCCAAUCAAACUUCGUGAUAGCUGGUUCUCUCCGAAAUAUAUUUAGGUAUAGCGUUGUGUCGUAAUAUAAGGGGGUAGAGCACUGAAUGGGCUAGGGCAUACACCAAUGUACCAAACCCUAUCAAACUCCGAAUACCUUAUAUGUAAUCACAGCAGUCAGGCGGCGAGUGAUAAAAUCCGUCGUCAAGAGGGAAACAACCCAGACUACCAGCUAAGGUCCCUAAAUCUUACUUAAGUGGAAAACGAUGUGAAGUUACUUAAACAACCAGGAGGUUGGCUUAGAAGCAGCCAUCCUUUAAAGAAAGCGUAAUAGCUCACUGGUCUAGUGAUUUUGCGCGGAAAAUAUAACGGGGCUAAAGUAAGUACCGAAGCUGUAGACUUGCGCACAACUUAGAUUAUUUAAGUUUAGAAUAUGAGAAACUAAGUUAUAUGUUUAGUUAUAUUUUUACUGAUUUUUAUAGAGUAAAGAUAGAAAUAAAACUUAGUAAAAUCAGUAAAAAUAUUCUUAGACUAAAGUUAAGUAGUUUAAGUUGUGUGCAAGUGGUAGGAGAGCGUUCUAUUUGCGUCGAAGGUAUACCGGUAAGGAGUGCUGGAGCGAAUAGAAGUGAGCAUGCAGGCAUGAGUAGCGAUAAUUAAUGUGAGAAUCAUUAACGCCGUAAACCCAAGGUUUCCUACGCGAUGCUCGUCAUCGUAGGGUUAGUCGGGUCCUAAGUCGAGUCCGAAAGGGGUAGACGAUGGCAAAUUGGUUAAUAUUCCAAUACCAACAUUAGUGUGCGAUGGAAGGACGCUUAGGGCUAAGGGGGCUAGCGGAUGGAAGUGCUAGUCUAAGGUCGUAGGAGGUUAUACAGGCAAAUCCGUAUAACAAUACUCCGAGAACUGAAAGGCUUUUUGAAGUCUUCGGAUGGAUAGAAGAACCCCUGAUGCCGUCGAGCCAAGAAAAGUUUCUAAGUUUAGCUAAUGUUGCCCGUACCGUAAACCGACACAGGUGGGUGGGAUGAGUAUUCUAAGGCGCGUGGAAGAACUCUCUUUAAGGAACUCUGCAAAAUAGCACCGUAUCUUCGGUAUAAGGUGUGGUUCGCUUCGUAUUAGGAUUUACUCCGAAAGCGAAGAAACUUACAACAAAGAGUCCCUCCCGACUGUUUACCAAAAACACAGCACUCUGCUAACUCGUAAGAGGAUGUAUAGGGUGUGACGCCUGCCCGGUGCUCGAAGGUUAAUUGAUGGGGUUAGCAUUAGCGAAGCUCUUGAUCGAAGCCCGAGUAAACGGCGGCCGUAACUAUAACGGUCCUAAGGUAGCGAAAUUCCUUGUCGGUUAAAUACCGACCUGCAUGAAUGGCGUAACGAGAUGGGAGCUGUCUCAAAGAGGGAUCCAGUGAAAUUGUAGUGGAGGUGAAAAUUCCUCCUACCCGCGGCAAGACGGAAAGACCCCGUGGACCUUUACUACAGCUUGACACUGCUAUUUGGAUAAGAAUGUGCAGGAUAGGUGGGAGGCUUUGAGUAUAUGACGCCAGUUGUAUAUGAGCCAUUGUUGAGAUACCACUCUUUCUUAUUUGGGUAGCUAACCAGCUUGAGUUAUCCUCAAGUGGGACAAUGUCUGGUGGGUAGUUUGACUGGGGCGGUCGCCUCCCAAAUAAUAACGGAGGCUUACAAAGGUUGGCUCAGAACGGUUGGAAAUCGUUCGUAGAGUAUAAAGGUAUAAGCCAGCUUAACUGCAAGACAUACAAGUCAAGCAGAGACGAAAGUCGGUCUUAGUGAUCCGGUGGUUCUGCGUGGAAGGGCCAUCGCUCAAAGGAUAAAAGGUACCCCGGGGAUAACAGGCUGAUCUCCCCCAAGAGCUCACAUCGACGGGGAGGUUUGGCACCUCGAUGUCGGCUCAUCGCAUCCUGGGGCUGGAGCAGGUCCCAAGGGUAUGGCUGUUCGCCAUUUAAAGCGGUACGCGAGCUGGGUUCAGAACGUCGUGAGACAGUUCGGUCCCUAUCUGCCGUGGGCGUAAGAAGAUUGAAGAGAUUUGACCCUAGUACGAGAGGACCGGGUUGAACAAACCACUGGUGUAGCUGUUGUUCUGCCAAGAGCAUCGCAGCGUAGCUAAGUUUGGAAAGGAUAAACGCUGAAAGCAUCUAAGCGUGAAGCCAACUCUAAGAUGAAUCUUCUCUAAGCUCUCUAGAAGACUACUAGUUUGAUAGGCUGGGUGUGUAAUGGAUGAAAGUCCUUUAGCUGACCAGUACUAAUAGAGCGUUUGGCUUAUCUUUAAUAAAGCAU
rnacentral:rRNA from 1 species